rnacentral:rRNA from 1 species
GACGUAGGGGGGCGAGCGUUGCCCGGAUUCACUGGGCGUAAAGCGCGUGUAGGCGGUUUGUUAAGUCGGAUGUGAAAGCUCCGGGCUCAACCCGGAAAUUGCAUCCGAUACUGGCAGACUUGAGGACGGUAGAGGUCGGUGGAAUGGCGAGUGUACCGGUGAAAUGGGCAGAUAUUCGCCAGAACACCAGUGGCGAAGGCGGCCGACUGGGCCGUUCCUGACGCUGAGACGCGAAAGCCAGGGGAGCGAACCGG